AGUUAUGGUCCUUGGACUUAGAAAAAUCACUCAAAUAAUCAGUUUUCCUCACUUUUUAUACGACCGCAAAAAAAAUUUUGUGGUCGUAUAUUGGUAUGACGUCGUUGUCGUCGUCGUUGUCCGAAGACACAUUAGUUUUCGCACUCUAAUUUUAGUUUAAGUUAAUGGAUCUCAAUGAAAUUUUACCAUAAGGUUCAAUACCACAAAAGGAAGGUGGGGAUUGAUUUUGGGGGUUAUGGUACCAACAGUUAAGGAAUUAGGGGCCAAAAAUAAGCAUUUUUGUAACUUCCAGACAUAACUUGUGUGUAAGUAUAUGGAUCUCUCUGACAUUGUACCAUAAGGUUCCAUAUCACAAAGGGAAUGCUGGGAUUGAUUUUGGGGGUAAUUGCCUCCAAAUUUUAGGAAUUGGGGGCCAAAAACAAGCAUUUUUCUAGUUUUAUGACAGUAACUUGUGUGUAAGUCUAUGGAUCUCUCUGACAUUGUAUCACAAGGUUCCAUAUCACAAAGGGAAUGCUGGGAUUGAUUUUUGGGGUAAGUGCCUCCAAAUUUUAGGAAUAAGGGGCCAAAAAGGGGCAAAAAACAAGCAUUGUUCUAGUUUCAUGACAAUAACUUGUGUGUAAGUGUAUGGAUCUUUAUGAAAUUGUACUACAAGGUUCCAUAUCACAAAGGGAAAGCUGGAAUUGAGUUGGGGGGUAAUUGCCCAAAAAUUUUAGGAAUAAGGGGCCAAAAAGGGGCAAAAAACAAGCAUUUUUCUAGUUUUAUAACAAUAACUUGUGUGUAAGUGUAUGGAUCUUUAUGAAAUUGUACUACAAGGUUCCAUAUCACAAAGGGAAAGCUGGGUUUGAGUUUGGGGGUAAUUGCCCUAAACGUUUAGGAAUUUGGGGCCAAAAAGGG